rnacentral:rRNA from 1 species
GACGAACCACACGAACGUUAUUCGGAAUUACUGGGCUUAAAGGGUGCGUAGGCGGCGUGGUAAGUUGGGUGUGAAAUCCCUCGGCUCAACCGAGGAACUGCGCCCAAAACUACCAUGCUUGAGGAAGAUAGAGGUAAGCGGAACUUACGGUGGAGCGGUGAAAUGCGUUGAUAUCGUAAGGAACACCUGUGGCGAAAGCGGCUUACUGGGUCUUUUCUGACGCUGAUGCACGAAAGCCAGGGGAGCAAACGGGG